CUAAGUUGACUGCCGGUGACAAACCGGAGGAAGGUGGGGAUGACGUCAAAUCAUCAUGCCCCUUAUGAUUUGGGCUACACACGUGCUACAAUGGACAAUACAAAGGGCAGCAAAACCGCGAGGUCAAGCAAAUCCCAUAAAGUUGUUCUCAGUUCGGAUUGUAGUCUGCAACUCGACUACAUGAAGCUGGAAUCGCUAGUAAUCGUAGAUCAGCAUGCUACGG
rnacentral:rRNA from 1 species